rnacentral:rRNA from 1 species
UACAGAGGGGGCAAGCGUUGUUCGGAAUUACUGGGCGUAAAGGGCGCGUAGGCGGCCGCCUAAGUCAGACGUGAAAUACCUCGGCUCAACCGGGGAACUGCGUCUGAUACUGGGUGGCUUGAAUCCGGGAGAGGGAUGCGGAAUUCCAGGUGUAGCGGUGAAAUGCGUAGAUAUCUGGAGGAACACCGGUGGCGAAGGCGGCAUCCUGGACCGGCAUUGACGCUGAGGCGCGAAAGCCAGGGGAGCAAACAGG